GCUACAUGCACGCACUGUGGUUCUGCACUCCUGUCCAGGCUCUCUGGCAGCAGAUAAAGGAGGAAGAAGGUGAGGUGACAUUUUCUUCCAUUCAAAUAAAGUGAGAAGAAACAGACAGUGAUCUCUCCACAGCUGCAUCCUUUCAGCAGUUACUUCUGUCCAGCUGAGGAUGAGGAUGAAGAUGAAGAUGAGGACGGCACAUUGAUGUACAGCUUUCAGUUAACGUGUUUAAAACAAGAUACAGAUCCAGAAGCUUUACUUUUAAAACGAGACAUAUUUAAAUAGUUUAUCAUACAAGUUUCUAUUUUUUUUGGCUAAUUUUGUUCUUCAUCAUGUUGUUGUAUCAGUUUUCUAAUAUGAAAGCAUUCAACAGUGAGUUCCUAAAGACAAUGAAUUAUUUGAGAAUGUGUUUAAUAAGAGCUUAAUGUUAAAUUGUAAAAAUAAAAACUAAAGAUCAUCAGAUCUUCA